AUUGAACGCUGGCGGCAGGCCUAACACAUGCAAGUCGAACGAGUGGCGGACGGGUGAGUAAUGUCUGGGAAACUGCCUGAUGGAGGGGGAUAACUACUGGAAACGGUAGCUAAUACCGCAUACCAUCAGAUGUGCCCAGAUGGGAUUAGCUUGGUGGUGGGGUAACUGCUCACCAAGGCGACGAUCCCUAGCUGGUCUGAGAGGAUGACCAGCCACACUGGAACUGAGACACGGUCCAGACUCCUACGGUAGGCAGAAGUGGGGAAUAUUGCACAAUGGGCGCAAGCCUGAUGCAGCCAUGCCGCGUGUAUGAAGAAGGCCUUCGGGUUGUAAAGUACUUUCAGCGGGGAGGCGUUACCCGCAGAAGAAGCACCGGCUAACUCCGUGCCAGCAGCCGCGGUAAUAC
rnacentral:rRNA from 1 species